GACGAACGCUGGCGGCGUGCUUAACACAUGCAAGUCGAACGGAAAGGCCCUGCUUUUGUGGGGUGCUCGAGUGGCGAACGGGUGAGUAACACGUCAGUAACCUGCCCUUGACUUUGGGAUAACUUCAGGAAACUGGGGCUAAUACCGGAUAGGAGCUCCUGCUGCAUGGUGGGGGUUGGAAAGUUUCGGCGGUUGGGGAUGGACUCGCGGCUUAUCAGCUUGUUGGUGGGGUAGUGGCUUACCAAGGCUUUGACGGGUAGCCGGCCUGAGAGGGUGACCGGCCACAUUGGGACUGAGAUACGGCCCAGACUCCUACGGGAGGCGGCAGUGGGGAAUAUUGCACAAUGGGCGGAAGCCUGAUGCAGCAACGCCGCGUGCGGGAUGACGGCCUUCGGGUUGUAAACCGCUUUCGCCUGUGACGAAGCGUGAGUGACGGUAAUGGGUAAAGAAGCACCGGCUAACUACGUG
rnacentral:rRNA from 1 species